AACGAACGCUGGCGGCAUGCCUAACACAUGCAAGUCGAACGAGAUCUUCGGGUCUAGUGGCGCACGGGUGCGUAACGCGUGGGAAUCUGCCCUUUGGUUCGGAAUAGCAGUUGGAAACGACUGCUAAUACCGGAUGAUGACGAAAGUCCAAAGAUUUAUCGCCAGAGGAUGAGCCCGCGUAGGAUUAGCUAGUUGGUGGGGUAAGGGCGCACCAAGGCGACGGUCCUUAGCUGGUCUGAGAGGAUGAUCAGCCACACUGGGACUGAGACACGGCCCAGACUCCUACGGGGGGGAGCAGUGGGGAAUAUUGGACAAUGGGCGAAAGCCUGAUCCAGCAAUGCCGCGUGAGUGAUGAAGGCCUUAGGGUUGUAAAGCUCUUUUACCCGGGAUGAUAAUGACAGUACCGGGAGAAUAAGCUCCGGUUAACACCGUGCCAGCCGCCGCGGUAA
rnacentral:rRNA from 1 species